rnacentral:lncRNA from 1 species
CCCGAGGAAGGGAAAGCAUUUGAGGAACAAGCAUCAUCAAAGCGCCGCCGCCACCAAAACCAUCAUCCUCUCCCCACUCUUUUUGUAUUUAAAACUAAUGAAGUGCUGAUACAGAUCAAAGGAAAAGAAAGAAGCAUUUAAUCAGCAGUUAAAAUAGUUUAUGUAAUAAUGUUUAAAGCCUUAAAAUGGAACGAGUGAAUCAAUGGUGACUGCCAUGAGUUUGAAUACGUGUGAGAAAUGAUUUGGAAUGUUAAAGCAGGUAUUUCAUAUUAACUCGUGAUUAAAACAUGUUUGUUUUCUUACAGCUCGGGACGUCUCCUGACAGCACUUUACCAGACUAUGAAGCACUGACGUCAGCACUCCAGGGCGGUGAUUUGAUGAAUUGGCCAAGUGCGAUGCUGACAGCUCCUCGUAGGAACAACAACGAUUGGGAAGUAUCUGCAAUGGGAAGAGUAACGAAGGCCACGCCUUCUGUCACGGAGGAUUCAACUACUCCGAUCGGGCCUCUGGUGGUUCCCAAAAAAAGGAAUCUAUCGGGUCUUCCUUCAGAUCACCUACGAAGGCGACGACUGCUCUGAGCCGGAGAUUAACCUGUACAGCCGCGUGUUCGUGCACUCUGAGCGUUACCCUCUGCACACGGCGCUGCUGUCAGCCUCCGACAUUGUCCAAGUGCGGCCCCUGGACAUGGAGGAAAUCACUCUAUUCCGCCGGGCUACACAAACUGGAGGCGAAGAGCCGACUGCAUGUCAACGCCACCCACCGCAGCUUUUGCCAAAGAACGAAGAUGAGGUGUUCUUCGGCGCCCAGCUGGUGCAGCAACUUCCACCUUCACCGUAGCAGCUCCCACAUUGCUCUGAAGAAAACCUGAAGUGUCUUUUUUCACUUAUGUGAAGUUUGUUUUCGCCAAGACUGAACCAGUUUGGGUCGCGAGACUGCUGCUCCUGUGCGAAUUCCUGAGUGUCUCUCCAAAAGUUCUCCUCCCCCCGAAGAAAUUUGAACACAUCAAACGCUCAUAACCAGUUGGUGUUAUGUUUGACUAGUGAUUAUGUUGUCCUUGUGACUGGUCUCAUUGAGUCCCGAGGACAGAUGGUUGUAAAAACGCAAAAUCAUCUAAUGUGUGUUUUUUCUGUGUUGUGAAAAAGCAAUCCAGAUCAAUACCAUUUAUAUAGAUCACCAGUUAAACUUAUACACCCACCAAUAAACUUCCCUCAAAGUCAAACGUACUGUUAUGG